rnacentral:rRNA from 1 species
GAUGAACGCUGGCGGCGUGCCUAAUACAUGCAAGUCGAGCGAACAGACGAGGAGCUUGCUCCUUUGACGUUAGCGGCGGACGGGUGAGUAACACGUAGGUAACCUACCUAUAAGACUGGGAUAACUUCGGGAAACCGGAGCUAAUACCGGAUAAUAUUUCGAACCGCAUGGUUCGAUAGUGAAAGAUGGCUUUGCUAUCACUUAUAGAUGGUCCUGCGCCGUAUUAGCUAGUUGGUAAGGUAACGGCUUACCAAGGCAACGAUACGUAGCCGACCUGAGAGGGUGAUCGGCCACACUGGAACUGAGACACGGUCCAGACUCCUACGGGAGGCAGCAGUAGGGAAUCUUCCGCAAUGGGCGAAAGCCUGACGGAGCAACGCCGCGUGAGUGAUGAAGGUCUUCGGAUCGUAAAACUCUGUUAUUAGGGAAGAACAAACGUGUAAGUAACUGUGCACGUCUUGACGGUACCUAAUCAGAAAGCCACGGCUAACUACGUG